rnacentral:rRNA from 1 species
AGUGAACGCUGGCGGUAGGCCUAACACAUGCAAGUCGAACGGCAGCACAGUAAAAGCUUGCUCUUACGGGUGGCGAGUGGCGGACGGGUGAGGAAUACAUCGGAAUCUACUUUUUCGUGGGGGAUAACGUAGGGAAACUUACGCUAAUACCGCAUACGGCCUACGGGUGAAAGCAGGGGAUCUUCGGACCUUGCGCGAUUGAAUGAGCCGAUGUCGGAUUAGCUAGUUGGCGGGGUAAAGGCCCACCAAGGCGACGAUCCGUAGCUGGUCUGAGAGGAUGAUCAGCCACACUGGAACUGAGACACGGUCCAGACUCCUACGGGAGGCAGCAGUGGGGAAUAUUGGACAAUGGGCGCAAGCCUGAUCCAGCCAUACCGCGUGGGUGAAGAAGGCCUUCGGGUUGUAAAGCCCUUUUGUUGGGAAAGAAAAGCAGCAGGUUAAUACCCCGCUGUUCUGACGGUACCCAAAGAAUAAGCACCGGCUAACUUCGUG